AUGGCUACUUUGGGAAUUUUGGUGAAAAUGUCAUUCUCUCCAGGACCCACCAAAGGACUCCAGGAAGAUUCUGACUGCUGUUCUUGUCCAGAGAAGUGGAUUGGGUACCGAUGCAGCUGUUAUUUCAUUUCUAAUGAAGCAAAAACCUGGGCAGAAAGUAGGAAUUCCUG